GCGGCUCACACGCACCGAGGGGGGGAUACAAGACGCGAGGAAAACAAAUCGAACCAUAAAGGAUCGUUCAAAAGCCAUCAAGAGCAGGACUGAUGUAGGAAAGUGCCGGCUACAAUCCACGCAGAACCGUGAAUGUAGUAACCCUCCCCCGCCCACUCACACCCACACAGACUUUAGAAAGAAUUCUAAGGAAUCCGUCACAAACGUGUUGGCAAACGACGCUGGCAUCGAAAAUGGCCAUUUUCUGAAAAUCUCACCAAAACAAAAUCGUCAGAUGGAAACACAAUAAGUUAGAGACGCUCUAUCUUCGCCCGGCUCUUUGCCUUUUUCGCUGGAAAAUAUUCCCUUUUUAAGGAUAAAUGUCCCCGCUGCAGCAUUACCUUUACAACGACAAAACCUUCAGCACUGCAAAGCAGUCGCACGGAAAGAGAGCGAAUUGUGUCUUAAGGCCAAAUGAAAACCGCUCGUCGCAUUAAGGGGAUCGAGGCCUUGAUAUUCGCAUGACAAAACCGUAGUUUCCUGUAGCUGGAAUUAUUUCAUCUACGGCAAGCCUUUAAAUUAUAACAGGCGGGGGAAAUGAGAAAACUUAAAACGAGACAACCAUCUUUCAUGUUCUGCAAUGUGCGUCUUUGCGCUUUAUUUUGUAUUUGAAUUGAUUUGAACGUACAGAACCUCACGAAGGAUACGUCCGCGCUAAAGGGUCUAUUUAAACCACAAAGAGCGGUCUCUUAUCAAUAAUAUCAAGAGUAUGCGGAUCGGAAUCGACUCUAUAGCGGAGAUAAGACUCUAACAGCGGAGUGAAAUUGUUAUUCCAUUAGUGUACAACAAGAAAGAAAUGCGCGUUUCUCCCGCUGAUUAACUCGGCACAUUUGCGAUUUUAUUUUGCCAGGAAUCGGGAAUAUAGGAGGAGAGGUUACUGAAGCCAAGGAUAUGGGUUAGGGUUAUAGAGGCUACGAAAACACACACCUGAUUGAGAAUCAACUCAUUAUUGUCUUCUCUUGGAGAAGAUCAUUAACUACUGCACUGUACGCAACCUACCUGUAGAUAACUUAUUAACAAUACAAAUGAGCAGUCCUAUCUGUUGGCACCGCACGGGAAGCUCGAUCGGUGUCUGUUGUUAAAGUAGGCAAGUGUUUAACUGCAAAGGAACAAGUAAUAGGUUUAUUCCUGUGCUGAAAAGAGAAGAAAGAAAACACAACGUUCCUGGCGUGGAGCCUUCUUCAGGUGUGUACACCUACAGCACACGUGACGAUCUCAGCAGCCUCCAGCUUUGUUUACUGUCUAUGGAUCACAGUGUCUCUGCGAUCAUGCGAUCGCGACCAUGUGGGAAAAUGAUCAAAUGCAACAUAUGUCUGUAUAUAAUAUGUGUAUUUGUUCAUGCUGGGUUAGCUAUGUAAAAACAACUGUCCCAGCGCACUAGGCUGGGAGGUGCAUAUUGUGUUAAUGCUAAGAUUAAAAUAUCCGAUCUGGUUUCUGUUACACCGCUGGGAGAAAUACAAUUUACUGUAGAAUUACACUGGGUUCCCAUACUGCGUCUGGUGUCACCGGGGUGUCCGCAGACUCGGCCCCUGUACAGAAAUGUUGACGUUUCUCGCAGCUCCACGUGCUCGCCCUCUGCGUGUUUCUGGACAGGUCAGGAGCACGUGAGCUGAUGGCUAGCCAGCGGGGCCGUUUCACGGAGCCGCCCCCCUGGGAGAAAUCGGCGACCUUUAACGACUGGAAUAAUCCACAAGGCGUCUUUAUUCUCUAAAUUACAGACUGCCGGGAAAUGUUGUCCGAAUUUUUUGCCAAGUUGCAGACUGUGAUUUGUUUCAGAGUUCGUAUUAAUUCACAGUCUACAACGAGCUGGUGAAAUACUCCCGUGCUCACCUGUUUCACUUAUUUCAUACCCUGGUUAUACAGAGGAAUGAGGGACGGGUACGUGUUCAGCGCUGUUCGCUUUCAGACGUCGCCGGAACACAGCCAAAAGCCACUCGGGAGAGCCGCGGUGUCGGCAGGCGUCUGUACUGAUCGCUGAUCCGCCUUUUUUUUUUUAAGGGAAAAAAAAAACCCAACCGACCUGGCUGACAAGCCGACAGGCACGGUAUUGUCGUCUGGCGGUGUUGCUGGAAUAAAGAUAUUGCACGCGAUUCGCAUUGCCAGGCGAAGGUUUUUGCGACUGGUAAAUCCGCGAUAUUCAGACAAGUUUCUGUUUUUCAGACUCGGUUUCUUGGCAACGCACGGCUCCUGGGCGAUUGUGAGCGGGGGGGAUGGGGACGAGGCUGGAUUUGGGUUCGGGGGGUGGGGGUUGAUAAUGAACUUGAGACAUCACACCGCAAUUCAGAAGUCUCCUGUCAACUUCGGUGCGUCCGAGUUCCCAGGCGUCUUUUUUUGUAUUGGUUGGGUGGGGGUGUGUGUGUGUGUUAACGAAGCCAUUGUGCAUUAUUCUCAACUCUAGACUCUCCUCGCCGCCUGCCACAGACCGACCCGGACCGCCCUUGGUAACCAAGUCUGCCCCGCUCUCUCUCCGCCAGGGGUGGACUUCACCCGGCUUAGACGAAACACGAAACAGUAGCCGUAUGUAUAUGUAUAGGAACAAAACAAAACAACAAAAAUAAAUAAAUGGGGGGAAAAAAAACCCCGUCCACGAUCAGAGAGAACCCAAGACUGAGUCUGGCUAAGUUUUCUCUUUGGCCGUCGCGCCUCCUAUUGAACAAGUAAAUGUAUUCAAAAGAGAUUUUCGUCGCCGAGAUGCGAUUAUUAUGAUAAUCAGCCGCGCCAGACCACCCCCCCCCCCUCCGCCCCGCCUGUCUGAACUCGGCGUUGACCGCGGAGGCGCACGCUCUCACCCCGCCGACCCGCGCAUUCCUCCGGGCCCCCGCGAGGCUCGGGGGGGGCUCUCUGUGACCGCGCGCGCCGUGCCACCCGUCAGAGGAGCUCGGGGGCCCGGAGUGGCGGGAAGGCCGCCGCCGCCUCCUGCCGGAACGGGACCGAUGUGUCCGGUCGGGCCGCCUUACAGCCACGGCCCUCGGUGUCUCUGAGCACCUCCGGCUAACAGGCGAGAAGAGAGAGAGAGGGGAAGACUGUGGGGGCAUGGAAAACUGGCACAAGUGAAACGGUCAAUAACAAGGCAGUGACACAAAAUGGACGCGGGAGAUGGGCAGCUUGUUUAAAGUCGAAGGGUGUGGUGGUGGUAGCGGCGGACGGACGGACAGCUCCCAGUAGAACAGAGAACAGAGACCGACGGACGACAAAAUUGAAGGGGGGACACUGUAUUGGAGGGGUUGGCAGACGCUCGCUGUCUUCCAGGGGGAGGGGAACGUCACCGCAGCGUGUCGCGAAGAGGGCGGGCCUUGCGCGCCUUAUAUGUUGUCGGUUUAACAUAGGUGCGAGUUCACACGCAGCCGUCUAGUGGGGAGGACGGCGGCGGCGCAGCAGCGGAGGAGAGAGAGGGAGAGUGACACCGGCUCUCUCGCUCGCUUUUUCCGGGAGAGGGCGGGAGAGAGGCUGUGGUUGUGUAGGUGGGGUGCGGAGUGGACGGUGUCGGAUGGGAAUUAAUAAUCAUGUCAGGGGGGGGGGGGUUACCCGGACGGGAAAAGCUGAAUGGACAGGGCCGCUGUGACGUCACUGCCCGCCGCAGGCAGCCGGCGCAAGACAGGCGGAGGGACGGCACGAGAGCUGGCAGUGCUCACGGACCGCUCGGCCCGCGCGGCUCGGCGCCGGUUCCUGUCUCCCCCGGAGCGAGCGGGAUACGCCUGGCUGCCUGGGCUCGAUGCACGCCAGACCACGUGAUUCAGGCUCUGGACCUCAGAGUGUCAGCCGUGGAUGCUGAGGUGGUAUAAAGAAGAGGGUAGCCUAAGGGGUUGGUUGUUAUCUUUGGUUAUCUAGCUGUAUGAGUGGUGUACAUUCUUCAUAAAGCUAGAUAACCGAAAGUAACAAGAAUCCCAUUACACUCCUGAGAGAUUAAGAUGCUGACAAUGGCUGGCCUUGAAGGCACGAAACUACAUCGGCAGCAGAAGGAAGAAGAACACACCCACUUGGAGCAAAGUGCCCAGGACAGACCCCUAGAGCCCCAACAGGCGGGCUGCCAGUCUCGUCAGGCGCAGCCCUGCAAGGGGCCGCACGCCAGCGCCUGGGUCCACCCUCCCCUUUUUCCUGAGCCUCGUCUGGCAUGCCGCCGCCCCCCCCCUCCCAGAGUCACCACCUCCACGUACGGCGGCUGUGCUCACCUCCCCUCCCUCCUGAGCGACCGGCGCAGACCUGCCCGCCACCAUCUUAGACAGCUGGCAUGAAAUGGAUGCGAUCUGGCACAGGUGCCGUACGGCUCGAUUUCCCAGGCUUCAGGCUCACUUGAGCGGCACCAGCGAGACUCCUCUGCCCCCUGGCAGCGCCCUCUGCAGAGCCAGCCCACACACGGCGUGCCACCUGGCUAUCUGACUGCCCAUGAACCCCCAGGGGUACCCCUGACCGCUUGGACAGCAGCCACAACAGCACCUGGGCGCUCAAUCACCUCCAGAGCUCCCAGGAAGAAGACGCCUCAAUUACAGGACCAGGCGUUUCUGCCUGCAGGAGUCGAUUUAAGUUACUCGAUCGUUCAUUUUUUACUGCCUACUUAAAGGCGGGAGACUGAAGGACUUGAGAGGCCUCUCCCCACCCUCACCCACCGGUAACUCGUUCCCUGAAGAGACCCAGUCCUGCCAGUCUGGGGGUUCGGCUCAUUCUUCCCACAGCACGGAUCCACCGAUUAAGAAGGACACCUUAUGAAGUGUGGGAUGAGCGGAGCAAACUCGCAUUAAAAAGUUCCUGAGGCACUCAAUCGAGAGAGGCUGCUGCUUCUGAAUGGUGAGCUUUAAAGAAGCACUCUUUCUCUGUCUGAAGCAUUCCAGCUUUGAUGCACCUAUAACGGUACAAUGCAGACUAUAGUGGAUCACCACUGAGGAGUGGACUUCAGCCUCUCUCUCGGAUUGCUUCCAUCAUCUGACCGGCCUGAAGCUCACCUGCUGGUUUCCUAGGGAGUCAGAAGCUCAGCUCUUGGUUCUGCUGAGUGAUGUCAGAGAGGAAGACACUCUCGGCCUGGCCACACCAGCAGAGGACACAUGGGUCUAAAUCCAAAUGCUUUAAGAGACACUGGGGCCAUUCUCAGACUUGUGGCUCUCUCAAGAUCACUACGGCAGGUCUUUCCUUUGACAUUUCCACUGUUACAAAAGAGAAGCCUUUUUUUUUUUAACGCUUCCACUUUGGAAGAAUGCGGGAUGCAUUCUGCAAUUUGAUUUCAGAAGCCGUACCUGAAAAUGUGUGUGCCCACCACAAGUGCACUGCUGUGACAAUCAAACUCAAUCAAAACAAAAAUCAGAGCCUUGAAACGUGGAUUGAUUGAGGGAGGGAGUGGUAGAUGAGGAGGUAACCUAAACCAGAAGCCUUUCAAUGAUGCAGACCAUUUUUAAGGCAAAUGCUGCCUCCUCGUCACUGAUCCCAACAGGUCAGGCCUUGAAACAUUUUCAUUUUAUGCCCAUUACUUAAGAGUUAUGCAAGCGUGAGUACAAUCAGCCUAUCUGUGAAGGCACCAAUCAUAAAACAGAGUUUUAUAGCCUAGUACUUGGCUAUGCCAAGCUGGCUUCUUGAUUUCGCCUCCCCAACUCAAAAUCAAAUACAGAUCAAGCCAGGAAGCGAUCUUUCCUUUUGUUUAGGAAAAGUUCAGUAAAGCCCGGCAUGGCAAGAGACGCUUCCCCUGGGAUGCGGAGAACUGUGCAAUAAGAUUCGGACUGGGAAGGCAGUUCGGGAGCUUCUUCUAUACACACCUGUUAAAUCAAGAGUUUAGGAAGUCAAUGGCCGAAGCUGACGAGACAGUGAAUGGGCACUGAAUGCAAUGGACAAACCCUUAGGCAUUUGCAGUGCAGAAGGUUCUCGGUUUGUUAUAUAUAAGCCUACGUGGGACAUGGCAGUCAGUCAAACAGGCAGAGAAUACCUUCAUGUAUUUGAAGGUGGUGUGUUGGACACACCACAGGAAACCCAUGUAAAGGAAAGUCAGACGCACUCCAGAAUACAAGCACAUUAACUACAAUGUGUUGACCCUCAUAGACUCAAGAAGAGGCUUUUUAAGUGAUCAACUACAUGUAUUGAAAAGAGUAACUACUAUAAUACAAGCAAUAUUUAAAAAUGUUUACACAGGUACACAUCUUAAAGCAUUACCUGUGGCUAAAGUAAUUACAUAAUGCAGUUACAAUAUCAGUCAUGAAUUAUAUGUAAAUAUGUGUAAUUCAAAGUGUCAGUUCCACACCCUUCCAAGAUAAUUACACUGUAAUUAAUGUGCCUGUAUUUUCCUAUAUAUAUAUAUCAGGAAAGGAAAUACAAAGUAGGAAAAGCAAUAAAAAGUGAAAAAUCACUGAUUGAUAACUUGAUAAAGAAGGUUGAACUCAGAUCAAAGAGAUUGAUGAGGAGAAGUAUUUGCAUCUACCUGCAUGCUGAUACUACCUUAGAACUGUGUGCGUUUGGACAGGUCUGGGUACAUCUCCAGCAUGUCAUCACUGCCCUAGUUCUGUGUGCAUUUGGACAGGUCUGGGUACAUCUCCAGCAUGCCAUCAGUGCCCUGUCUUCUGUUACAUGUGCUUGGCAAAUAUGGUUCUUAAGCACCAUCAAUGCCACUCUCCCUCACCAUCAGUGGGCUUAAAACUCCCUGGUGCAGCGUAGAUCAGGACUGUUCUUUCACAGAGCAAGCACUGAAGAAUUGUCUAUAGACAGCAAGAAAUCCCAACAGCCAUCCUGCAUCUACAAACCCCUCUGCCUUCUCACUCUAAGAAUUCUCUAAUUUGUUCUCUUCCAGGAGUUACUAGUCUCUUACAGCCUGGGAAACAUUCAUUUGCGAUUUCUGGGGGGUUUGGCAAUUGAACCCUGAAACGUUACUGGAACGCACUGCUUUGUCGUUCUAGUCGAGGGUAUUGUUAAUCUUUUUUGCACUUCAACAUGAUGAAAAUGUGACUGAAUGUGAAAACCCCUCUGCAGAAGCAAUGAAGACUGCACUGUUUGAGCAGCUAAAUGCGUUGUUCCGCUGUGGUGAGCAAUGCAGGAAUGAAAGAGUUAGCUGUUGUCUUUAUUCUCUAUGCAAUGACUUGGGGAUAUGCAAACCGCUGAAACGAAGCCUUGCUUUCAGUUAUCGAAUUUGGAUUUUUACUUCAAUGUAUUUUUUCCCCAUGCUUACAAUGCAAAUGGAGAUGAAGGGUUUGGGAGAACAAUCUCACCCCCAUAAAAAAAUAAUUCAGAAUUUUGCUACCAAAAGUUGGACUUGUGGGUUGUCCUCUGUUGGAAGUUUGUCACAGCCUUGCAAAAAAAUUAAUACAGGUUUCAGUGGAUUGCAUUCCUCGUUAGUCUUUCGCCAAGGACCGCAAGGUAGCCAAGACUAUGCAAGAAGAUUGGCUCUGGAGCAGCUGAUGUACUGUAUUUGAUGAAGGAUUUGGGGUCCGCCGAACGUCUUUUCGCAGUUUUUGUACUUUACGGCUAAUGUUGCACAUCAUCGCGUUGCCCUUGGAUGAACUGAUGCACUUGAUAAUAAAAAGGUUAUGACGAUGAAAACCC